GUUCACAGUGAGAACAUGUAAAUAAAAAACAAAAAUGUAUGGCAGCAACUGCAUUACAUGGGUAGUGAUUGUCCACAACACAUAGCCUUCAAAUACAUCCUAUUUCUUCGAUAAUUAUGUCUCCUACUAAACACAGUAGCUAUUACUGUGCUAUUUGUCAUUUGCCUUAUAAACAGAUACCGUGUUUUAGAAAACGACUGUCACUGCUAACCCUAACCAAAGGAAGGGACCUACAGUGUUAGUUCACCCAUUGCUACAGAAAAUGCACCCUGACUGAAAUAUGGAUAGAAACUGAAAUCAACCAAGUUGAUCAAACCUGCCUGAAAUAUUUGUUUCAGUCAAAGGCUUUUGGUUCAGUCCAUUUUCUCACCUAAACCUUGGAAUUUUACCACGCAGAGCCAUUUAACUUAGUUCAUAUCUUUGCUUUGGGAAUUUGUAAACAAUAGGACAGAUCUUGCAACCCUCCUGGGCUUCUUCUGUUCUUUUUUUCCUUGUCCAGGAGGGUCUUGUCUCCUUCGAGGACGUGGCUGUGUAUUUCUCCAAGGAGGAGUGGUCUCAGCUGGAGCCUCACCAGAAAGCACUGCAUUGGGAAGUCAUGCUGGAAAAUUAUAGGACCGUGGCCUUUCUGGGUAAUGAUGGGCAGGAGAAUAAAGAUUCCAGGGAACUACUCCAAAUGAUCAGGCAUGGAGACAAAAUGGAGAAGCCUGCAAUUCAAACAGAAGUACAAAGGCAUGAGAGAAACCAGUCAAAUAAGUGGAAGAAGGAAAGCUCAUCUUCCAUUGAUGCUCAGAUGCAAGACUUUGUUGCCCCAAAA